rnacentral:rRNA from 1 species
GACGAACGCUGGCGGCGUGCUUAACACAUGCAAGUCGAACGAAGUGGCGAACGGGUGAGUAACGCGUAAUCAACCUGCCCUUCAGAGGGGUACAACAGUUGGAAACGACUGCUAAUACCGCAUACUGAAGGUGGGGAUGACGUGUGAUUAGCUAGUUGGAGGGGAAAGGGCCCACCAAGGCGAUGAUGAGUAGCCGGUCGUAGAGGAGGAACGGCCAAAUUGGGACUGAGACACGGCCCAGACUCCUACGGGAGGCAGCAGUGGGGAAUCUUCCGCAAUGGACGAAAGUCUGACGGAGCAACGCCGCGUGAGUGAUGACGGCCUUCGGGUUGUAAAGCUCUGUUAAUCGGGACGCGGUACCGGAAUAGAAAGCCACGGCUAACUACGUGCCAGCAGCCGCGGUAAUUC